rnacentral:lncRNA from 1 species
UUAUAUAUAUAUAUAUAUAUAGAACUAGGCUGGAAUACUAUCAAUAGCAUCAAUGGUGCUAUUGAUUUUUUAGCUUUUGGAUUGAGAAAUGGAUAGUUAGAAUGAUAUGGGCCCCCUAGGGUUGAAUGAGUGGUUGGUUGAAUAGCUCUGUGGUGUCAAUUAGUGCUGAAGCUCUUGAGGAGGAACAGCCGAGGCGUGAUGGUCUGAACGGAUUGGCGAGAGAGACAUCGCAUGGUUGCAUGUAUUAUAUGGCGGUGGGCCUCCCAUAAAUACCAUUUUAUUUAUUUGUUAUGAUAUAUAAAGAUUUCCACAAAAAGUAAAUAGAAAAAGUAUAUGAGAAAGAAGAAAAAAUUUAUUUGGUACAUUUUGGUGGAAGACAAACUGAACUAAUUCUCUCAUUAGAGAAAACAAAGUAGCAAAUUAAAUUGAUCCUCUAUGCAUGUACAGCCCUUUGGGGUAGCUAUAAUUAAUUAAGGCGACUCUGGUUUCAUUAGACAGAAUAGCCCCGACCUCUCUAUUUAUAUCUAAUUAUAUAUAAUCCUACUCCAAUUAGAUUUCACUUUAAUCAUAAUUUAAACAACAAAAUCUAAUAAUCAAAUAAAAUAAAUAAUUUAUUUAUAAUCUAGCAUUAUCUCUAACACUCUCUCAUAAUGCUAAUACUAGUGUAGUGACCCGCGCGAUGCGACGGGUAGAAAUAUUUUAGUAAAUAAAUAUAAACGUAAAGAAGAAACAAAAAAUAUAACUAUAUUGAUUAGAUAUAACAAUAAAAAAAAUAUAUUAG